UAAAAAAGAAGCAUAUGUAAAUUAUGGGCUUUAACUUGUUUUUCAUUCAUGGUUUCCACCAGAAUUAAUAUCUCCUAUUUCUGGGUUCCGUAAUUAACAUUUGUCUCUCGUCUUUUCAGGUUGAGCAUCCCAGUCGGUGGCGGUGAGUCAAUGAUGGCGAUGACGUAACAAAGCUGAAGAAACUGGCCCCGCAACCCUCCUGUGGUCGAAAAUGGAUGGUGACCUUCAGGGUGAAUCAUCCCCACCCCGUGAAUGGCGCCUCAUCACACACUUGCUAUAAUUUCAGGUUGAGCAUCCCAGUCGGUGGCGGUGAGUCAAUGAUGGCGGUGACGUAACAAAGCUGAAAAAACUGGUAAGUGUUGACAUGAUUUAAAAUCAACUUGGAUUUAGGAAUCGCUAUGAUGACGUGAUUUCCUGCCAUUCGUAGUUUCCACCAGAGGUCGACAGACCAAAGACGGCCCAAACCUUCCUUGGAUGUCUGAGCGAACCAGACGUGGUCUUCUGUUUUGGUGUUUUUGGAUUUAAACAUCAAAAUUAACUUGUUUUUGUUUGCUCUUCAGGUCCCACGACCCUCCUGUGGAGGAUAAAGUGGUAGAAGAUGGAUGGUGACCUUCAGGGUGAAUCAUCCCCACCCCGUGAAUGGCGCCUCAUCACACACUUGCUAUAAUUUCAGGUUGAGCAUCCCAGUCGGUGGCGGUGAGUCAAUGAUGGCGGUGACGUAACAAAGCUGAAAAAACUGGCCCCGCGACCCUCCUGUGGAGGAUAAAGUGGUAGAAGAUGGAUGGUGACCUUCAGGGUAAAUCAUCUCUGGUCCCCCCGUGAAUGGCUCCUCAUCACACAUUGCUAUAAUUUCAGGUUGACAUGCAGACGCACCAUUCCAGAGAACGACAACUUCUAAGCUGUGUCAACUUUUUUCUUUUUUUUUUUUCUUUUUUUAAAUCAUCACAUAAUAAAACUUAUAAAUUGUGCAUUU